UACGAGGGGGGCAAGCGUUGUUCGGAAUUAUUGGGCGUAAAGGGCGCGUAGGCGGUGCGGUAAGUCACCUGUGAAACCUCUGGGCUCAACUCAGAGCCUGCACCCGAAACUGGCCAGCUGGAGCGCGGUAGAGGAGGGUGGAAUUCCUGGUGUAGCGGUGAAAUGCGUAGAUAUCGGGAGGAACACCUGUGGCGAAAGCGGCGCACUGGACCAUAACUGACGCUGAGGCGCGAAAGCUAGGGGAGCAAACAGG
rnacentral:rRNA from 1 species